rnacentral:rRNA from 1 species
CUACCCGGGUAUCUAAUCCUGUUUGCUCCCCUUGCUCUCGCGCCUCAGCGUCAGGUACUAACUAGAAAACCGCUUUCGCCACUGGUGUUCUUCCACAUAUCUACGCAUUUCACCGCUACACGUGGAAUUCCGUUUUCUCCGUCAACCCUCUAGAAUGAUAGUUUCAAAUGCAGCUCCAGAGUUGAGCUCUGGAAUUUCACAUCUGACUUAUCGUCCCGCCUACGCGCCCUUUACGCCCAAUAAUUCCGAUUAAUGCUUGCACUCUCCGUAUUACCGCGGCUGCUGGCAC